ensembl:lincRNA
UUUAAAUCGGGGCAUCCAGCUGCCACCAGAUUCCUUGCAGGGUGAGGGAACUGUGCUUCUCCAGUACAAAUGGGGGCCCUCCUAAUCAUUUGGUUCAGGUUCGUCCUUAGCGACAGCAAUGUCUGUGAGCACUUCUGGGUCUGGCAGCAACAUCUUCAAUAUCUGAUCCCAAAAGAUAACCCCAGCUGGUGUCAUGAUCCUAGCCAGCACACCCACUGAGCCAGCUCACUGCCCCAUCGGAUGCUCUGUGAAAGGAGCUGCUUUUCUG